GGGAUUUGGUGGCUUUGUGGUAAAAGCCUUGUCUCUGGAGUUGGAGGUUGCUGGUUCGAAUCCGGCUUGUCCCU